GCACUGCCUCUCCCAGUCCGACUGUGUCUGCUCCCAGGGCUGCUACUGGAAGGACCUGACCCGCCUGGGCAGGGACCUGGCCAAGACAGUGGCCCUGGACCACACCAUGCAGGGCUUCCCUGCCCAGGCUGCCAACUGGAUCUCGGUGCCACCGUGGUCUGGGGACCCCGAGGAUGAGGAGCUGCUGCGCCUCAUCCCAGCGCUGCGCCAGCUGGGCCAGGAGGAGGACGUGCGCCCCGAGAUCCAGCGGCAGUUCCAGCCCUGCCAGCCGCCUACUGAGGGUUAGGCCAGCCUGGAGGAGCAGGAAGGGGGAAAACCUCUGGGGGAGCUUUGCUGGGGACAUCCAGCGCCUCAUCCUGUGGAACUGGGCUGGGUGUUUGUCCCAGGAAUCUCCCUUGGUGUUUUCAGGGAACCCAGCUCAUCCCCACAAGGAGAGCCCCUGCCUUUGGGGACAAAGCUCCAUCCCCUCUCCCUGCUCUGUAAGGUCCAGC